rnacentral:RNase_MRP_RNA from 1 species
UUCUCGUUCAAAGAAUCGCAUUCGAAGCACACAAACAGAGAGGUCCUUCGGGGCUUCUCAGCUGGCAACAGCUACAAUUGCUUUGGGAGAAAGUCCCCGGACACCCUUCAUCUAUGAAGGAUUGCGGAAACGCGCCGCCAUAGAAGCAGCACAGCGGCUUCUCUUCUUCCUAUUCUCUUUCACCACCUCCACCCUCUUGCACUGCACUCUCGCCGAGUUUGGGACCUUGACUCUUAGUUGGAGCAUGGAUGAAGAUAUGAGACCGAGCUCCUCGGCGACGUUUCUCGGGCCCGAAGCAAGUGGGUUUGUGGAAGGCAUUUGGACUGUUCUCGGCGUGAUUGGGAUGUUCUGGUCGUCGAGGUCUUUUCGUCGAGAUCGAUAGUUAUGCGAUUGCCUCUCUCGCUGCGCAAGUAGUGAGGGUGGUAACUCGAUGGGGCUUAUUCUUGAUGCGAGA